GGUAUCAACCCAGAGAAGAGCA
rnacentral:tRNA from 1 species